rnacentral:ncRNA from 1 species
ACCCUAGUAAAAUUUGCUACUUCACGAAGUAAUUUGUGAUGAUAACGUGGCUCAUAACGGUGGAAUCUUGUAUGUACGUGGUCCGUUGAUAACCAUAUCCUGCCCUUGGUCCGGUAGAUAUGGUACAAUUACUUGAGGACCAUGCAACGGCAAGACAAUACCGUGGGAAGUCGGCACAAUAAUGAUUUGGCGUAUAUCGCCGGAUUUCUUGAUGGCGAUGGGAGUAUAAUGUUGCAGAUAAAGAAGCGGAAAGACGGGAACGUUUCCGGUCGCCGCUUCAUGGCAACGAUAUGUUUCUAUCAGGAUGCGCGUCAUGCCAAGCCGCUCGAAUGGAUACGAAAAGUACUCGGUAUCGGGUAUAUGUCGUACCGUAACGACGGCAUGGCGGAACUACGCAUUAACGGUUUUAAGCAGACGGAAGAAAUUCUGUUGAAAUUACUACCGUUCAUUAAAUUCAAGAAAAUUCAGGCGGCGGAAGUCGUAAAAGCGGUGCGGAUACUUCAAAAAGACAUCCGUACCGAAAGCGAUUUGCGCAAGGUCGCGACCGCGAUGAUACGGAUACAGUCCGUAAACUACGCGACGCGGAAAAAGAAAACGCUUGAAGAAAUUCUAAUCAUGUUGGACUUGACCCCGUAACGACUUGGCUCUGCGGAGCCGGAGUUUAGCGCUUGCGCUAAGCUAAUACGCCACCUCCACCCUUAAACAGGGGGGAUGAAGGUAUAGUCUGCGCCCUUGGUGACAAGGGAUACGCAUCCGAAAAGCGGAUGUUCGCGACGAGAGGACCGGGUUGAACGCACCGCUGGUCUACCAGCUCUGUCACCAGAUGGACCGCUGGGUAGCUAUGUGUGGAACGGAUAAGCGCUGAAAGCAUCUAAGUGCGAAGCCAACUCCAAGAUGAAACUUAGUGAUCGUGGAAGACUACCACGUUGAUAGGCUUCAGGUGUACGCACAGCAAUGUGUUUAGCCGAGAAGUACUAAUAUCACGUCGCGAUUAACCGG